rnacentral:rRNA from 1 species
GACGAACGCUGGCGGCGUGCUUAACACAUGCAAGUCGAACGGAAAGGCCCUGCUUUUGUGGGGUGCUCGAGUGGCGAACGGGUGAGUAACACGUGAGUAACCUGCCCUUGACUUUGGGAUAACUUCAGGAAACUGGGGCUAAUACCGGAUAGGAGCUCCUGCUGCAUGGUGGGGGUUGGAAAGUUUCGGCGGUUGGGGAUGGACUCGCGGCUUAUCAGCUUGUUGGUGGGGUAGUGGCUUACCAAGGCUUUGACGGGUAGCCGGCCUGAGAGGGUGACCGGCCACAUUGGAACUGAGAUACGGCCCAGACUCCUACGGGAGGCAGCAGUGGGGAAUAUUGCACAAUGGGCGGAAGCAUGAUGCAGCAACGCCGCGUGCGGGAUGACGGCCUUCGGGUUGUAAACCGCUUUCGCCUGUGACGAAGCGUGAGUGACGGUAAUGGGUAAAGAAGCACCGGCUAACUACGUG